rnacentral:tRNA from 1 species
GGGGGCGUAGCUCAAUGGAAUUAGAGCAGUUCAUUACGAAUGAACAGGUUUGGAGGUUCGAGUCCUCUCGCCCUCUCCA